GGGAGCUUGCUCCCGGAUGUUAGCGGCGGACGGGUGAGUAACACGUGGGUAACCUGCCUGUAAGACUGGGAUAACUCCGGGAAACCGGAGCUAAUACCGGAUAGUUCCUUGAACCGCAUGGUUCAAGGAUGAAAGACGGUUUCGGCUGUCACUUACAGAUGGACCCGCGGCGCAUUAGCUAGUUGGUGAGGUAACGGCUCACCAAGGCGACGAUGCGUAGCCGACCUGAGAGGGUGAUCGGCCACACUGGGACUGAGACACGGCCCAGACUCCUACGGGAGGCAGCAGUAGGGAAUCUUCCGCAAUGGACGAAAGUCUGACGGAGCAACGCCGCGUGAGUGAUGAAGGUUUUCGGAUCGUAAAGCUCUGUUGUUAGGGAAGAACAAGUGCAAGAGUAACUGCUUGCACCAUGACGGUACCUAACCAGAAAGCCACGGCUAACUACGUGCCAGCAGCCGCGGUAAUACGUAGGUGGCAAGCGUUGUCCGGAAUUAUUGGGCGUAAAGGGCUCGCAUGCGGUUUCUUAAGUCUGAUGUGAAAGCCCCCGGCUCAACCGGGGAGGGUCAUUGGAAACUGGGAAACUUGAGUG
rnacentral:rRNA from 1 species